GUUUACGGCCAAAGCACCCUGAAUGCACCCGAUCUCAUCUGAUCUCAGAAGCUAAGCAAGGUCAGGCCUAGUUAGUACUUGGAUGGGAGAAUAUUAUACAAUUCUGACAAAGCAAAACUACUGGUUUUAAACU
ensembl:rRNA 5S_rRNA 5S ribosomal RNA